rfam:Aedes aegypti strain Liverpool supercont1.428 genomic scaffold, whole genome shotgun sequence.
UGCCCAGCAACUCCUAUCCCUACCUCCUCGUGGUACUGGCCGGGGUACGAGUAACCUUGGGGAAGAUCGGGUAACCAACCCCCUGUGGGAACUUUGGUCGUAUGCUGACAGGGAAGG